AAGCCUGAUCCAGCCAUGCCGCGUGUGUGAAGAAGGCUUUCGGGUUGUAAAGCACUUUCAGCGAGGAAGAARGCCUCUGGGYYAAUACCCCAGAGGAAGGACAUCACUCGCAGAAGAAGCACCGGCUAACUCCGUGCCAGCAGCCGCGGUAAUACGGAGGGUGCGAGCGUUAAUCGGAAUUACUGGGCGUAAAGCGCGCGUAGGUGGCUUGGCACGCCGGUUGUGAAAGCCCCGGGCUCAACCUGGGAACKGCAUCCGGAACGGCCAGGCUAGAGUGCAGGAGAGGAAGGUAGAAUUCCCGGUGUAGCGGUGAAAUGCGUAGAGAUCGGGAGGAAUACCAGUGGCGAAGGCGGCCUUCUGGCCUGACACUGACACUGAGGUGCGAAAGCGUGGGUAGCAAACAGGAUUAGAUACCCUGGUAGUCCACGCCGUAAACGAUGUCGACUAGCCGUUGGGACCUUUAAGGACUUAGUGGCGCAGUUAACGCGAUAAGUCGACCGCCUGGGGAGUACGGCCGCAAGGUUAAAACUCAAAUGAAUUGACGGGGGCCCGCACAAGCGGUGGAGCAUGUGGUUUAAUUCGAUGCAACGCGAAGAACCUUACCUACCCUUGACAUCCAGAGAA
rnacentral:rRNA from 1 species